rnacentral:piRNA from 1 species
UGGAAAGCACGGAGAGUCCAUCUUCAGUUU